GGAGGAUUAGCUCAGCUGGGAGAGCAUCUGCCUUACAAGCAGAGGGUCGGCGGUUCGAACCCGUCCUCCUCCACCA
rnacentral:tRNA from 1 species